rnacentral:tRNA from 1 species
AGGAAAGGGAGGGAUUCC